rnacentral:snoRNA from 1 species
GUUGACGUCUGUCCUAAUGGGGCAUUCUCUGUAGGUGUACACCAUUGGAAAUGCCUAUUAUAGUGACUUUGUGGUUUACUUUACUCACAGGAUUAUCUGUCAGAUCUACACGACAGAU